rnacentral:rRNA from 1 species
AGCAUAUCAAUAAGCGGAGGAAAAGAAACCAACAGGGGAUUGCCUCAGUAACGGCGAGUGAAGCGGCAAGAGCUCAAAUUUGAAAGCUGGCUCCUUCGGGGUCCGCAUUGUAAUUUGCAGAGGAUGCUUCGGGAGCGGCCCCCAUCUAAGUGCCCUGGAACGGGCCGUCAUAGAGGGUGAGAAUCCCGUCUGGGAUGGGGUGCCCGCGCCCGUGUGAAGCUCCUUCGACGAGUCGAGUUGUUUGGGAAUGCAGCUCUAAAUGGGUGGUAAAUUUCAUCUAAAGCUAAAUACUGGCCGGAGACCGAUAGCGCACAAGUAGAGUGAUCGAAAGAUGAAAAGCACUUUGAAAAGAGAGUUAAACAGCACGUGAAAUUGUUGAAAGGGAAGCGCUUGCGACCAGACUCGCUCGCGGGGUUCAGCCGGCCUUCGGGCCGGUGUACUUCCCCGCGGGCGGGCCAGCGUCGGUUUGGGCGGCCGGUCAAAGGCCCUCGGAAUGUAACGCCCCCCGGGGCGUCUUAUAGCCGAGGGUGCCAUGCGGCCAGCCCGGACCGAGGAACGCGCUUCGGCUCGGACGCUGGCAUAAUGGUCGUAAGCGACCCGUCUUGAAACACGGACCAAGGAGUCUAACAUCUACGCGAGUGUUCGGGUGUCAAACCCGUGCGCGCAGUGAAAGCGAACGGAGGUGGGAACCCCUCGGGGUGCACCAUCGACCGAUCCUGAUGUCUUCGGAUGGAUUUGAGUAAGAGCGUAGCUGUUGGGACCCGAAAGAUGGUGAACUAUGCCUGAAUAGGGCGAAGCCAGAGGAAACUCUGGUGGAGGCUCGCAGCGGUUCUGACGUGCAAAUCGAUCGUCAAAUUUGGGUAUAGGGGCGAAAGACUAAUCGA